rnacentral:rRNA from 1 species
GACGAACGCUGGCGGCGUGCCUAACACAUGCAAGUCAACUUGACUGAAGGAGCAAUCUGACAGUAGAGUGGCGCAAGGGUGCGUAACGCGUAAGUAACUUGCCCAAGGUAAGGAAUAACGUCGAGAAAUCGGUGCUAAUACCUCAUAAUGCAGCGGAUCCGCAUGGAUAUGUUGUUAAAGGUUUACCGCCUUGGGAUAGGCUUGCGUCUGAUUAGUUAGUUGGUGUGGUAACGGCACACCAAGGCUACGAUCAGUAACUGGUCUGAGAGGAUGAUCAGUCACACUGGAACUGAGACACGGUCCAGACUCCUACGGGAGGCAGCAGUGAGGAAUAUUGGGCAAUGCUCGAAAGAGUGACCCAGCAACGCCGCGUGGAGGAUGAAGGUAUUCUAUAUCGUAAACUCCUGUGAGAGCAGACGAAAGACAGAUUAUUAAUCUGGAUGACUGUAUGCUCAGAGGAAGCCCCGGCUAACUACGUG